GUCGAGAAUCUUUCACAAUGGGGGCAACCCUGAUGGAGCGACGCCGCGUGGAGGAUAAGGUCUUCGGAUUGUAAACUCCUGUCAUGCGUGAACAAGGUUGCUUGGUUAAUACCUGGGCAAAUUGAUGGUAACGCAAGAGGAAGAGACGGCUAACUCUGUGCCAGCAGCCGCGGUAAUACAGAGGUCUCAAGCGUUGUUCGGAAUCACUGGGCGUAAAGGGUGCGUAGGUGGCGUGGUAAGUAAGAUGUGAAAGCCCGGGGCUCAACCUCGGAACUGCAUCCGAUACUGCCAUGCUAGAGUACUGGAGAGGUGACUAGAAUUCUCGGUGUAGCAGUGAAAUGCGUAGAUAUCGAGAGGAAUACCAAAGGCGUAGGCAGGUCACUGGACAGUUACUGACACUGAGGCACGAAGGCCAGGGGAGCGAACGGGAUUAGAUACCCCGGUAGUCC
rnacentral:rRNA from 1 species